CAGGCAAUUACGCGAGUAAACGGCGUGUAAAGGUUGAUAGCCUUUAUCAAGUUCCGGGACGAUCACAUCAUGCUUGCCUGUC
rnacentral:tRNA from 1 species